rnacentral:rRNA from 1 species
GUUGACCUCGAAUCAGGUAGGACUACCCGCUGAACUUAAGA